UUCUUCCUUUCCUUUCCUUUCCCUUCUCUCUCCCCUCCCCUCCCCUCUCCGGCAAAGCCCUGCAAACCUUGGGAUGGGCAAAAUCUCCCAAUUAGACCUCAGAAUACCCGUGGACCUCGGUUUUCCGAUCCAAGAGAGCGCACUCUGAUCCUAGGGCAACAUCCCUGCAAGGUAGAUGGUGCGGAGAGAUUAGGCCAGGUAGAGGCAAAGCACCACUUUUGGAAAUCCACUGACAAACCAGGAUCAAAAGAAACAGUGGUUUAGUGUGUAUGUGUGUAUGAUUUUCCCAGCUUGCAGCUGCAAACCGUGGCUGGUUAAAUUUUGCUGCUGGCGAGGAACAAGCUGUGGGUCUGCGGUGGGAUGCACUUAUAUGCAGACAGGUGUGAAUUUCAUCCCAUUUUGUCUCCAAGGAUUGUUUUACAGUGACAAAUGUAUUUAUCCAUAUUUUUUUCUCCACCUCCAGGUGAUAACAGAAUGGGGCCAAGGGAAUUCUUAUGCCCUGGAAGCUGCCAUCAUCACCUGCUCCUGCAUUUCAGUGAUAAUCAAAAGCGUCCUGUUUUGGGCACUGUUUCACGUCUAUCAGAGUUUUGGGCAAGGCCUGAGAGAGAGGAUGUUUUCUUCCUAUGGAAGGAUCGAUUCGUGACCUGCAGCUCCAUCGCCAAACCAGUGUGCUCUUAUAGAGUGAAAACCAAGUUGGGAAAAUCUUGAUUUUUCUCUCCCUUCUGCCCCCCUCCCCGCUCCACCAUUGGACUCUGGAAUCUGAUAAAGAGAAGCCACAGCGGAGACUGGAUCCCAAGGGAGACCCUUUGCUGCAUUUUCUAGGAUCCCACGCUGCCUCGCUGUUUCUCUGGGAUCCACCCCGCCAGCCUUCCUCAACGCAGGAAAGCCAACGAAACCACACAUCCUCCCAAUUCUCCCAAAGGAACUUAAGAUGUAGCUUGCAACUACGAGUGGCCUUUCUCGUGCUGGGGUGUGUGUGUGUGUGUGUUUGGAGGUGUCUGGCCUUUGCUCCCCUGGCUGUAUUGUAGCCCCAUUAUUUAUUUUAACUUAAUUUGGGCCCUGCUACGGUUGGCAUGUCUGAACUUGACCAAUGGGGCAGAUUUCGGUUGCCAAAUUGCAAAGCAAAUCCCUGGGAUGCGGCCGUCGUUCCAAUAAAAAAAAACAACGCACCUUUUUCUCACCCUAAAAGAGCCUCAGGCCCGGCUUGCCUGGCCUGAACCUGCUCUCCGAUCCAGUGUGACACCAGAAAACCAGUUUCUCUUCCAUCGCUUGUGGUUUGCUGCACUCUCCUACGGCCUGUUUUUCACGCUUCCAAGGUUGCAAGGAUCGCUUCGGAUCCUGCAAACCUGGAAAGGAAGAAUCUCUGCCCUUCUGGUGUGGUGCCAGAAAAGCAGAGAACAGCGUACUGGUCGCCCUCCAUUUUGCACAUACCCCUUUCCUUUUGUUUUAAAAAAAAAAAGGCACAAGUUUUUAUCCCACCUGAAGAAUUUCGGGGCCAGGACCCACCGAAGGCAGAAUAGAAUGAACGGUAAACCGUUCACCUAAAAUUGUCCCAUCUGUGUUGCGCCAACUGGGCGCUUGCAAGGGGGCAGCUUCUCCGUCUAAAUCAGACCCAGGUUGAGUUUCUAUCUCUCAAACUUUUGGCUCUAACCGUAGGGUCUUCCCAGCUAAAAGUUUCCUUCGGGUCAAUAUCAGCAUGGCUGAUUUCUUGCUGACUCCAGAGAGCUCUCUUUUUCAAAAGUUCAACAAAGUUUGGUCCUAUUUUUUCAAAACACUCCCCAGCGAUGUGAAUAUCUUAGCUGAGCUAUUCUUCAUAACAAAGUGAUUUUUUCUAACAAAACCCUUGUAUUUCAUACUCUACCAUAAUGCUUUAUUUAAAUAAAUAAAUU